rnacentral:rRNA from 1 species
UACGUAGGGUGCGAGCGUUAAUCGGAAUUACUGGGCGUAAAGCGCGCGUAGGUGGUUCGUUUAAGUUGGAUGUGAAAUCCCCGGGCUCAACCUGGGAACUGCAUUCAAAACUGUCGAGCUAGAGUAUGGUAGAGGGUGGUGGAAUUUCCUGUGUAGCGGUGAAAUGCGUAGAUAUAGGAAGGAACACCAGUGGCGAAGGCGACCACCUGGACUGAUACUGACACUGAGGUGCGAAAGCGUGGGGAGCAAACAGG